GAUGAACGCUGGCGGCGUGCUUAACACAUGCAAGUCGAACGGAAAGGCUCCUGCUUGCAGGGGUACUCGAGUGGCGAACGGGUGAGUAACACGUGGGUGAUCUGCCCUGCACUUCGGGAUAAGCCUGGGAAACUGGGUCUAAUACCGGAUAGGACGAUGGUUUGGAUGCCAUUGUGGAAAGUUUUUCGGUGUGGGAUGAGCUCGCGGCCUAUCAGCUUGUUGGUGGGGUAAUGGCCUACCAAGGCGUCGACGGGUAGCCGGCCUGAGAGGGUGUACGGCCACAUUGGGACUGAGAUACGGCCCAGACUCCCACGGGAGGCAGCAGUGGGGAAUAUUGCACAAUGGGCGCAAGCCUGAUGCAGCGACGCCGCGUGGGGGAUGACGGCCUUCGGGUUGUAAACUCCUUUCGCUAGGGACGAAGCGUUUUGUGACGGUACCUGGAGAAGAAGCACCGGCUAACUACGUG
rnacentral:rRNA from 1 species